rnacentral:rRNA from 1 species
GAGUUUGAUCUUGGCUCAGAGCGAACGCUGGCGGCAGGCCUAACACAUGCAAGUCGAGCGGCAGCGCGGGGGCAACCCUGGCGGCGAGCGGCGGACGGGUGAGGAAUGCAUCGGAAUCUACCUCGUUGUGGGGGAUAACCUCGGGAAACCGGGACUAAUACCGCAUACGACCUACGGGUGAAAGUGGGGGACCGCAAGGCCUCACGCGAUGAGAUGAGCCGAUGCCGGAUUAGCUAGUUGGCGGGGUAAAGGCCCACCAAGGCGACGAUCCGUAGCUGGUCUGAGAGGAUGAUCAGCCACACUGGAACUGAGACACGGUCCAGACUCCUACGGGAGGCAGCAGUGGGGAAUAUUGGACAAUGGGCGCAAGCCUGAUCCAGCCAUGCCGCGUGUGUGAA